rnacentral:ncRNA from 1 species
ACAGGUAGAGGUGCGGCUGAGAUCAGUACCUCAGUUCCGGAUGACCAGUCCCAUGGAACUGAGCGAAAGGCAAGGCUGCCGAAGGACGGUAUCUGGUAAAUCCCGUUCUGGGCGCUUACCGAACAGGUAUGCGACUGUCAUCAUAGUUAUGGUGGAGUGCUAUCGG